GAUGAACGCUGGCGGCGUGCCUAGUACAUGCAAGUCGAGCGAACAGAUGAGGAGCUUGCUCCUCUGACGUUAGCGGCGGACGGGUGAGUAACACGUGGAUAACCUACCUAUAAGACUGGGAUAACUUCGGGAAACCGGAGCUAAUACCGGAUAAUAUAUUGAACCGCAUGGUUCAAUAGUGAAAGACGGUUUUGCUGUCGCUUAUAGAUGGAUCCGCGCCGCAUUAGCUAGUUGGUAAGGUAACGGCUUACCAAGGCAACGAUGCGUAGCCGACCUGAGAGGGUGAUCGGCCACACUGGAACUGAGACACGGUCCAGACUCCUACGGGAGGCAGCAGUAGGGAAUCUUCCGCAAUGGGCGAAAGCCUGACGGAGCAACGCCGCGUGAGUGAUGAAGGUCUUCGGAUCGUAAAACUCUGUUAUUAGGGAAGAACAAAUGUGUAAGUAACUAUGCACGUCUUGACGGUACCUAAUCAGAAAGCCACGGCUAACUACGUG
rnacentral:rRNA from 1 species